AGUGAACGCUGGCGGUAGGCCUAACACAUGCAAGUCGAACGGCAGCACAGUAAGAGCUUGCUCUUACGGGUGGCGAGUGGCGGACGGGUGAGGAAUACAUCGGAAUCUACUUUUUCGUGGGGGAUAACGUAGGGAAACUUACGCUAAUACCGCAUACGACCUACGGGUGAAAGCAGGGGAUCUUCGGACCUUGCGCGAUUGAAUGAGCCGAUGUCGGAUUAGCUAGUUGGCGGGGUAAAGGCCCACCAAGGCGACGAUCCGUAGCUGGUCUGAGAGGAUGAACCGCCAAACUUGAACUGAGAAAAGGUCCAGACCCCCAAGGGAGGCAGCAGUGGGGAAUAUUUGGCAAUGGGCGGAAGCCUGAUCCAGCCAUACCGCGGGGGUGAAGAAGGCCUUCGGGUUGUAAAACCCUUUUUGUGGGGAAGAAAAACAGGAGGUUUAAACCCCCGUGUUUUGACGGUAACCAAAGAAAAAGCAACGGCUAACUUCGGG
rnacentral:rRNA from 1 species